rnacentral:misc_RNA from 1 species
GAUGAAGAACGCAGCGAAAUGCGAUAAGUAAUGUGAAUUGCAGAGUUCAGUGAAUCAUCGAAUCUUUGAACGCACAUUGCGCCCGUUAGUAUUCUGACGGGCAUGCCUGUCCGAGCGUCAUUAAUUCCACUUAAGCCCUGCUUAGUGUUGGGAAUCUACUCUAGUGGUGCUACCCUGGAGCUACCCCUGAAAGGGGGCUGGCCCGGUAGCUACCCUGUAGUUCCUCAAAGAUAGUGCGCGGAGUUGCGUGGUCCUCUGAGCUUAGUAACUAUACACCUAGCUUUUGAGUGUCCCGCGGCGCCUGCCGUUUAAACCCCAUCUUUUAAUGGUUGACCUCGGAUCAGGUAGGAAUACCCGCUGAACUUAAGCAUAUCAAUAAGCGGAGGA